CGUCGCUUUGCCGAUCAAAAGAAUUGGAAGUGUAAUUUUUUUCAAUUUAUCUCUUCUAUAGUUAACGCAAUCGUCUAUUUCGCCUUCUAUUUCGGCAAACAAGUGUAUAAGUUAUACCUUGUGAGUUUAACAAGUGGGGAAGCUGUCAAGUUUCCAAAAUAAACGUAAUGGGUUACGGGACGGGUCGGUGUGCUGUGUCGGUGUGAUAUCAGGACUCUGUUUACAUGAGUUCGGAGCGGGGUUGUUGGUCAAAAUGCUGCCGACCGUGGAGGAGAGUCGCGGCUACGACUUCCAGGACCCAGAGAACGCGGAGAAAUGGCGCGGCUUGUUCGUCAAUUCACUACGAAAGGUGCUGGAAGGCGUACACCCGACGCUAUGCGCGGAGGAGAGCGCGCUGGUGUACGUGGAGUCGCUGUGCCUCCGCCUCUUGGCCAUGCUGUGCGCCGCCCCCUCCCCGCUCUGUGUCCAGGAUGUGGAGGAGCGCGUGGCGCGGACCUUCCCGACUCCGCUGGACAAGUGGGCACUCAGCGACGCGCGGGACGCAGCCGCCAGUCGCCGCCGUCGCGCCCUGCUGCCGCUAGACAAGAUACACCACCUGCUGCAGAAGGAGGUCCUACUCUACAAAAUCGACAUGUCCGUCUCGGUCUUCAUCACAGCGAUACUGGAGUACGUGUCCGCAGACAUCCUCAAAUUGGCCGGCAACUUCGUGAAGAAGAUCUCACAGAAGUCUGGCUACGAAACCGUUACCAGCAGAGACAUUAAGACUGCCAUGUGCGCUGAUAAGGUUCUAAUGGACAUGUUCUACCAAGACUCGGAGCUGGCGCUGGCAGACAGUGGGGGAGGCAGCGAGAGGAGAAGACGGGGGUCCCUCACGUACGCUGAGCUGGUGAGAGACCUCCUCACCGACGAGAGACACUUCCUCAGAGAGCUGAACCUGAUCAUCCGCGUGUUCAAAGACGAACUAGAGAAGAUACUGGAUAAAGAUAGUCGGGCAAUAACGUUGAUAUUCGGUAACAUUGUGGACAUCUAUGAGUUGACGGUGACUCUCCUGGGUAAUCUGGAGGACGCCUGCGAGAUGGCCCAGGACUCGCCCACGCCAUACAUCGGCAGUUGCUUCGAAGAAUUAGCGGAGGUGGAAGAGUUCCGAGCGUACGUACGUUACGCAAACAUCGUGACGAGGAAGGAGUCAAGGGACGCUUUGCAGAAUAUAGUGGACGAUCCACUUCUGGGCGAGCGGCUGGAGACGGCGGGGCACGGGUUCCGGCUGGCGGUGAAGUACGUGCUGCCGCGGCUGCUGCUGGCGCCGCUGGCGCACGUGUUCCUGGUGCACUCGUACGUGCUGGCGCUGCUGCAGAUUGCGCCCGCGCACGACGACCGCGAGAGCUUCAAGCAGGUGGAAUGUAAUCUACAUCCAAUAAAAAAAUUGUUAAUGAAAGCUUUAGGGAAUGGUCCAAAGAUGGAUGCAACGUUGAGAAUGGCGACGCGUGCCAGAAGACAAUUGGCGAUAGAAAAAUGUAACGAAUUGGCGAGGUUGGUUGACAAUUGGGACAACAAGGACAUUGGGCAGUGCUGUAACGAGUUUAUUAGAGAGGACACGUUAUCAAAGAUCGGCCCGGGAAAGCGGAUAGCGGAAAGAAGAGCGUAUUUAUUUGACGGCCUGCUACUGCUCUGCAAGCCUGUCACAAGUUUGGUGGGAGUCAACAGUGGUAACUUGACGGGCCCAGGCGGCGCGCAACAACUCAAACUGAAGGAGAAACUGCAUGUUAGGAAAUUAGAACUAGUCGACAGACCAGACACUGAUGAGGGCAGACAUAUGUUGGAGCUGUGCCCACGCGUGGGCCCGCCCGUGGUGCUGGCGUGCGCGUCCUGCGCUGAGAAGAGGAACUGGAUGUGCGACCUCGUCAUGCUGAACACCAAGCCCAUGCUGGACAGGAGUCUGGACAGCAUCCUCCUAGACCUGGAGAGGCGGCACCCCCUCCAGCUGCCCCCGGAGAGCCUGUACCGGUUCGCGGCCCCGGACAGUCCCAACAACAUCGUGUUAGAAGAACGGUCCGGGAACACUGGCGCUCCACUCAUUAAGGGCGCGACCCUCCUGAAGUUAGUGGAGCGUCUCACGUACCACAUCUACGCGGACCUCAACCUGGUGCGGACCUUCCUCACCACGUACCGGUCGUUCUGCAGCCCCCACGAGCUGCUGGCGCUGCUGGUGGAAAGGUUCCGCAUGCCGGAGCCCAGCGAGGUCUACACCAACAGGCAGGAAGAGAGUAUAGAGUGUGUCAGCAGUGACGUUGAGAAGCUCAGCAAGAACACAGCGAGAGAGGACUGGAAGAGAUACCGCAAGGAGUUUCAGCAACCAGUUAAAUUCAGAGUAAUAAACGUGCUCCGACACUGGGUUGACCAGCACUUCUACGACUUCGAGCGCGACCCGGCGCUGCUCGAGAAGCUGCGAGAGUUCUUAGAGUCUGUGGACGGCAAGCCCAUGAGGAAGUGGGUCCAGAGCGUGCUCAAGACUCUGCAGAGGAAGAGCGGCCAGAUGGAGCUAGAAUGCUCCGGCGGCGUGUCGCACGUGUUCGACCGGUCCCCGCCGGCGGUGUUCAAGCACGUGGCCGACCCCGACCGGUGCGGGUGGCACCCGCUGGCGCUGCACCCGCUGGAACUGGCGAGACAACUCACACUGCUCGAGUUCCAGCUUUAUAGACAGGUCAAACCAUCAGAGCUGGUGGGCGCUGUGUGGACCAAGAAGGACAAGGAGAAGACCAGCCCGAACCUGCUCAAGAUCAUCAAACAUACCACCAAUUUUACCCGUUGGAUGGAGAAAUGGAUAGUGGAAAGCGAGAACAUAGAGGAGCGUGUGGGAGUGGUCUGUCGCCUGCUGGAGCUGUGCGUGGCGCUGAGAGACCUGAACAACUUCAACGGGGUGCUGGCCGUGGUGGCUGCGCACGGGUCCGCGUCCGUGCACAGGCUGAAGACCACCUUCCAGAUGGUCCCGCUGCGGCUGAUACGUGCGCUGGAGGAGUUCCGGGAGCUGAACUCGGACCACUUCAGGCGCUACCAGGAGCGGCUGCGCAGCAUCAACCCGCCCUGCGUGCCAUUCUUCGGGAUGUACCUGACCAACAUACUGCACAUCGAGGAGGGGAACUUGGACUACCUGCCGAACACGGAACUGAUAAACUUCUCGAAGCGGAGAAAAGUGGCGGAGAUCACGGGCGAGAUACAGCAGUACCAGAACCAGCCGUACUGCCUCACUGUCGAGCCCAGGACAAGGGCGUUCCUCGAAGCCCUGGAUCCUUUUCCCGGUAUGAGUGACAACGAGAUAACGAACUACCUAUACGCCAAGAGCCUGGAGAUCGAACCCCGGCCGCCUGUGAAACAGAUGCCCAAAUUCCCGAGAAAGUAUCCCGACCUGUCGUUGAAGCAAGUGAAGGUAUCAAGGAGAACUCACCAAGACACACCCGCUCACCAUUCUACCUCAAGCAACGACGAUAAUCUGAGUGUAUCGCAGCUGUCGCCGACAAGCGGCAGCACGUGGGACGGACAGUCAGUCGCGUCGCUACCCAUUCACCACGACGACCAUAGAGGGUCCAGGUCGGAGGAGCGCGGCUCGCUGGUGAGCCCGCGGCUGGAGCGCUGCGCUAGCAGCUCCUUCAGCCAGUUCAGCUUGCUGGACAAGGGGCUCGCGCUCUUCGACAAGACCAAGUCCACCGCCUCGCUCAGUGCCAAAAGCAGUACAAAAGAGGAGCCUGCGUCGCCGCGAGACCGGCAUUCUCCGCGACACGACAGGCCGCAGCCGCCGCAGGGCGAGAGGAAGGCGCUGUCCCCGCGCGGCGCCAUCGUCGACGCGGAACUGUUCUACUCUAGGAGCGUCGACCACCUCACGCGGAGGCAGGAUCAGGAGCGCGUGCCCCCCCUGCUGCCGCGCAGCAGCGUGGUGUCCACCGGCAGCGCGUGCGACACCGACCGCCCCCCUGUCUUACCCCGACGGGACGCACCGCACAAUGCAUCAAGUGAACCGAGCGAGGCCGCGCCGGGGGGGCCGCCUGCGCCUCCUGAGCGACCGCUGCCGAGCCCCAAACACCACGAACUAUUCAGAAUGACAGCCGUGUCUCCGAAGAGGUCCCCCGCGCCCCAGCCGCCUGCCAGCCCCUUAGUAACUACAGAUAGGACGAGUGCGUUCAACUUCCCCGUGUCGCCGGCCGCGCCGCCGCUGACGCCGCAUCCGCCCCCGCCAAGUAAAUGCGGCACGCCUCCUCCGCUGCCGCCUCGAAGAAGAAAAGAUUCCAUAGCGCCGCCCACCCCCGUACACCAGCCCCUGAGCGGUGGCAGUGGCGGCGUGUCCCCGUGCGCGGGCGCUCCGCCCCCGCUGCCGCCGCGGCCCGCGCCCGCGCCCGAGCUGCUGCGGCCCGCGCACUCCACCAUCCUGCAGCGGAGGCAUCACACUACCAACAACACGGUGGCGUCCCCGGGCCCGCGGCUGCCGCCCAAGCCGUGCCCGCUGCUGGCGCCGCGCCCCUGACACCAGCCCCCCGCCACCACGCCGGGUACCAGCACCGGUCCCAGCUGCACGGCGCCGCUGUCGGCCGCGGCCGCCGGCUGCACGGUGCACGCCACGCGCGUCGACCUCGACACCGUCGACAUAUACUACACCUGCGACACUCUGUGACUCUUUAACCGACUGCAAAAAAGGUGGUACUACGUUGUAUGUUCAGUCAGUGUUCUGUUACUCCCAUUUAGCUGCGCGCGUUUAGUGAAUGGAAAUAAACGUGAAAGUAUUCUUGUGGUUUGAAAAUGUGGCAACGAAAAUCUUACCGCAGGAGGAGCUUCAGAAUCGUACCGUCAAGAUAACAAGCAAGCACCCAAAAAAGCACCCAACCAAGCAAGCUUUAUAUACCGCUACGGCCUUUAUUGCUGUGAUGUAAAGGUAUUAACCUGCGCGCGCCUUGUUACUUACAGUCAUGAGCAAUAUCAUGUACCCACUUUAGAACCCUGUCGCACUAUCAUAUUUGACAUUUAAUGAGACUUACGGUUUAAUUUGUCAUAAAAAGUUCAUGUGACAUGGUUUCAAAGUGUAUCAUAUUAGUACUCGUGACCAUACAUUGGCAAGACUUAUUUACGAAACGGCAUAAGUGGCUGAGCACAGACAAAUAGCGACUUAAAAUCAGUAACAUUAACGUGUUUUUAGAAAUUUUGUUGUACGAUUCGCUACUGCAAUUGGGAACUUGACAGUUUAAAAUACAAAUUCUUACUUUAUACAUCUUAAAAUGUGUUAUUUUCUCGAAAUAGAUAGAUAGUUAAAAUACUUUAUUGAGAUUUGAAAUAGCUUUAUUAAUAGAAAAAUACAUUUUCUUUUCAUCAAUUUCAAAUUUCGUUCGAAAACGGUUGGUCACGUGACAUUUCGCCCGGUGACGUCACAUUUCAACAAACAAAGAAACUGUCAAACAGUAUAACUUGAGGCUUUUUGGCGGGAAACGGGAACGGGACAGUUGCUUUCUUCAUUGAAUAAUCUAAAUAAUUAGUACGAAGUGGUGUUUUGUGGUUAAUGAUCGCAUUAAGUUAGUCAGAAGACAUUCGCGAGUGUUAUUUUAUCGGAGUAUUCAAUAAACAAAGUGUAUCUGCCUAUUUUCGCUUCGUGCUAGGAAGCCGCUUCAUAACUCGAAAGUUUAUGCGGACUUUUGAGUUAAUUCGUUUGGGGUUCGGAGCAGGAGUCUGCUCCGAGGGUGGGGGCUUAGGUUUCAUCAUCAUCACCUUUCAUCAUUUCAUUAAUAUCAAGAAAAAAAUACGCAAGACAUGGCUGUAUAGGCAUAGUUCCCUUUGCCUUACCCUUCGGGGAAAACCAAGUAUAACUUAAAACCUGACAGAUAGGUUUUGUUUACUUUGUGGAAUGUGACGUCACACGAAAAUCAAUCAUGGCUGCCCGUGUUUCGGGUGUUGUAAUACACAGAUAAAAAAUAGCAUUCUAAUUUUGUAAAAAAAAAAUAAUAUUUGAAAAUGAUCUUAAUAAAAUGAUAAAUCGCAAAGUAAUAAAUUGACUGGUUGCACUUAAGACCUCCUGGUUACAUGUCGUUUCUGUAAUAGACCAAAACACCUACAGAACAUUACAAAACAUUAAUUUUUAAACUAUGACAACUAAUGGUUCGUAGUUUCACCACUGUUUACAAAUUCGCUGGGCUCAGUGACUGAACUUUUUUUUGUACAGUGACUGUAAUCAACGUGUAGUGUCUGUGGAAAACAAGGUGUUUUGUAUGAAGUGUGCGGUGUGUGCCUCUGCAGACGGAAUCAAGCCUUGGCCCCGAUUCCUGCAGACACCUCCUAAUUUUACUUUAAAUUAUACCUGUCAUUUUCCUAUCCGCCGAAAAGGAAAGGGACGGAUGAUUCACAGCUCUUAAUUUUAGGAAGAAUGAGUAAAUGAAUGAAUAACCCGGGCGAAUCAAAUAGGUAUCUCGCUGGUAUGCAAACCGUUUGACAUGUGCUGUCAACUUAAUUCUGUUGGGUUAUUGGCCAAUGUAAAAUUUUUAGACGGUUGUUUUUAGAUUUGUGUUUAAAAUUGACGUGUGUUCCAUAAAUUUUAUGCUUGUCGAUUAUCCGUCCCUUUCCUUUUCGGCGG
rnacentral:misc_RNA from 1 species